GCGCCGCUGCUGGACUCGAGGAGCUCCUCGAGCGGCUCCUCCGUGCUGACAGGAUUCGGUGCAGCUGGAGAACCAUUUCUCGCAGCUCCGCUAACGACAUGGCCUCCGACGGCACGGACGAGCGCUCGCCACUGCUGUCGGCCCCCAACUCGGAGAACGUGACCCCCACCGCGCCCCCGUACCUCCAGGAGUCGAGCCCGCGAGCUGAACUACCUCCUCCUUACACAGCCAUCGCCAGCCCAGAUGCUGGCGGUGUGCCCGUCAUCAACUGCCGUGUUUGCCAGUCACUCAUCAACCUGGAUGGCAAGCUGCAUCAGCAUGUGGUCAAGUGCACAGUCUGCAAUGAAGCCACACCUAUCAAGAAUCCUCCAAUGGGAAAGAAGUAUGUGAGGUGUCCCUGUAACUGCCUGCUUAUCUGUAAAGACACAUCUCGGAGGAUAGGAUGUCCUCGACCUAACUGCAGACGUAUAAUCAACCUGAGCCCGGUGAUGGUCAUCCCCGAGGAGCAACCGGCCCAGCCAGCGCUGCCCAUUCAGCCUGAGGGGAUGCGGGUGGUCUGCGGUCACUGUGGUAACACCUUCCUAGGCAGUGAGGGUGCCAGGUCGUCGCAGCCACUGUCUGGUCUCCCCGGCGACGGCUCUCCUCCAGCCCAACAACAGUGGAUGGAGCUUCGGUUUAACACGCUAGCCAAGUGUCCCCACUGCAAAAAAAAUAUCAUCAGUUGGCAGCGCCCUCCCUAGAAGGCGCUGUUGUGCUUAUAUAACUAUAGGAAUGAUCUGCAUUUUCGUCGGAGUGGGCUUAACAGUGGGUACUCGAGAUUUUGCCAGACGUUACAAUGCCACCUACGUGUCCUGGGCCUUUGCUUACCUGUUGGGUCUCAUUUGCCUGAUACGAGCCUGCUACUGGGGAGCGAUCAAAGUCAGCUACCCGGAGAACAGCUUCGCUUAGGGCGCAGGCGGCACCGCUGCACGAACAAACCCCACGUUUAGUUUUUGUCCUCCCCCCUUUCCAUCUUAUUCAGGUUCCAAACAGGUCAUGUUCAGCGGAGUGGGGCAUCUGCACGGGGAUGUGUGCGUAUGUUUUAUCCAACACGCGGUUUGUGUGGAGAUAUAUCCAUGUAUCUCAUUUGUGUCUGAAAUGUUUUUGCAAGCUUUUAUUUACUGAACAAUACUACUAUAUGGAUUUGCUUGCACACAAGGACAUAAAAUCCUCUACCAUGCAAUCAGGAAGUUGUGUGGAAUUGGUUUGAUAAUUGAGAUUCUUUUUUUUUCCUUCUUCUUUUUGAAUGCCAUAAAUCUUUUGUGGCUUUUUUUGUGAUUUAGGAGUGAUUGCUUAUCAAACAUGAAGGAUUUGAUGCCUUUGGACUGGUUCUUGGACACGUUUAAUGGAUUUUUCUGUUUCCCAACAGACCAAAAUAAGACAACCUCAUAAGAAAAAAGAAAUGUUCCCAUUGCACUACAAUUAUAUGCAACUGUAUGUGUUGGUUUUGCUGCUAGUUUAACCCCAGCUGCAGAUGGCUCUGUAUUAUCUACACUGUACUAUAACAUUUAACUGGUCUGUGCACACUGUCAGAGUACGAACUAAUGAUUUUAAAUCUACUAAUGAUCAUUUUUUUAUAAGAAGUUGUUAAAUGCCCAUGCGUGCCAAUAUUUCCAUUCAGUAUUUGUCAAGGAGUAGCAUUUUUUUUUUCUGUCUAUGUUUCUUUAUGUUUCUUUUUAUUUUUCUGCAUUAUAUUUUGACCUUCAUCAUCAUCUUCUGCACUGCCUUUAUGUUGCCUUCUCACUGGUAGAAAAAUUAUCCCAAAACUUGGUGACUCAAGUUUGCAUGUUGGCUUGCUGUCAUUCUGUAACUGAGGAUGUGUGUGGUGGUUUUUCUUUUUUUUCUUUUCAGUUAUGGAGCGGUGCGUGAAGCAUAUAUGGGGUUCUUGUCUUAGAUCUUUCUGCCUGUGAUUCAGAAUGUAAACCUUCCUUCGCUUUUCGCUGACCUCCAGUGAAGUCCGUGCUAGCUAGUGUCGCUGUAACAGAGCGUCUGGCUUCUUGACGCUGAUCAGUUCAAACUUCUAACCAUGUUAUGAAUGUGUUAAAGCAGAAAUGAUACUUAAAAAAAAGAUGCUCUUUGUACAUAAUGCAGAUUCUGUACUUGGAGAAGCUGUAGUGUGAGAUGGGAGUAGAGGGCUCAUGGGUCUUUUUAAAAAUGAUAAUUUAUCAAUAAAAUCUAAAAAAAAU